UAGAGUUUGAUCAUGGCUCAGAUUGAACGCUGGCGGCAUGCCUUACACAUGCAAGUCGAACGGCAGCACGGGAGCUUGCUCCUGGUGGNNNGUGGCGAACGGGUGAGUAAUACAUCGGAACGUACCCAGGAGUGGGGGAUAACGUAGCGAAAGUUACGCUAAUACCGCAUAUUCUGUGAGCAGGAAAGCGGGGGAUCGCAAGACCUCGCGCUCUUGGAGCGGCCGAUGUCGGAUUAGCUAGUUGGUGAGGUAAAAGCUCACCAAGGCGACGAUCCGUAGCAGGUCUGAGAGGAUGAUCUGCCACACUGGGACUGAGACACGGCCCAGACUCCUACGGGAGGCAGCAGUGGGGAAUUUUGGACAAUGGGGGCAACCCUGAUCCAGCCAUGCCGCGUGAGUGAAGAAGGCCUUCGGGUUGUAAAGCUCUUUCGGCGGGGAAGAAAUGGCAACGGCUAAUAUCCGUUGUUGAUGACGGUACCCGCAUAAGAAGCACCGGCUAACUACGUGCCAGCAGCCGCGGUAAUACGUAGGGUGCGAGCGUUAAUCGGAAUUACUGGGCGUAAAGCGUGCGCAGGCGGUUUCGUAAGACAGACGUGAAAUCCCCGGGCUCAACCUGGGAACUGCGUUUGUGACUGCGAGGCUAGAGUACGGCAGAGGGGGGUAGAAUUCCACGUGUAGCAGUGAAAUGCGUAGAGAUGUGGAGGAAUACCGAUGGCGAAGGCAGCCCCCUGNNNUAGUACUGACGCUCAUGC
rnacentral:rRNA from 1 species